CACGUAGGGGGCGAGCGUUGUCCGGAUUUAUUGGGCGUAAAGGGCGCGUAGGCGGCCACCGCAAGUCAGUUGUGAAAUCUCUGGGCUUAACCCAGAAAGGUCAACUGAUACUGCGGGGCUAGAGUGCAGAAGGGGCAACUGGAAUUCUCGGUGUAGCGGUGAAAUGCGUAGAUAUCGAGAGGAACACCUGCGGCGAAGGCGGGUUGCUGGGCUGACACUGACGCUGAUGCGCGAAAGCUAGGGGAGCGAACGGG
rnacentral:rRNA from 1 species